GACGUAGGGCGCGAGCGUUGUCCGGAUUUAUUGGGCGUAAAGAGCUCGUAGGCGGCUUGUCGCGUCGAAUGUGAAAUCUCGGGGCUCAACUCCGAGCUUGCAUUCGAUACGGGCAGGCUAGAGUUCGGUAGGGGAGACUGGAAUUCCUGGUGUAGCGGUGAAAUGCGCAGAUAUCAGGAGGAACACCAGCGGCGAAGGCGGCGCUCUGGGCCGGAACUGACGCUGAGGAGCGAAAGCGUGGGUAGCAAACAGG
rnacentral:rRNA from 1 species